AGGCAUUAACGUAUUUUAUUGUGUUCAGAAACAGUGAAAUACCAGCCUCUGAAGGGUUUUCCGGAGACCUCAUCUGAACUAGGCUAACAGCCGAACGAAAACGGAACAA
rnacentral:sRNA from 12 species